AGGUUAUGAUGUGGGCAUUUCCUUAACAAGUCUUUGAAUCGUUCUUAUUCCUCAAAUAGUGAUUUAGUGUCCAACUGUGCAUAAGUUGUGAUCUCCUGACAAAACUU